GGCCCGGUGGCGGAAGUGUACACGCAGGGGUGAUCUCCUUAUCCUGGUUCGAGUCCAGGCUGGGCCUCCA
rnacentral:tRNA from 1 species